UACGUAGGGGGCUAGCGUUGUCCGGAAUCAUUGGGCGUAAAGAGCGUGUAGGCGGCCCGGCAAGUCCGCUGUGAAAGUCGGGGGCUCAACCCUCGAAUGCCGGUGGAUACUGUCGGGCUAGAGUGCGGAAGAGGCGAGUGGAAUUCCUGGUGUAGCGGUGAAAUGCGCAGAUAUCAGGAGGAACACCAAUUGCGAAGGCAGCUCGCUGGGACGUCACUGACGCUGAGACGCGAAAGCGUGGGGAGCAAACAGG
rnacentral:rRNA from 1 species